rnacentral:rRNA from 1 species
AUGAGGAAAAUCAAUGUCGACAAAUAUUUGAUAUCGGCAUUGGUGGAGCGUUGGCGGCCCGAGACAAAUAGUUUUCACCUACCUGUAGGAGAAAUGACUAUUACGUUGCAAGAUGUCAGUUGUUUGUGGGGGUUGCCUAUCCAUGGUAAACCACUUGUUCGAAAAGCUGAUGCACAGUGGUCAGAAAUAGUUGAGAGGUUGCUUGGGAUUCCUGUGGAUGAACAACACAUGAAACAAAAGAAAAGGCGAAAAGGUGAUGAUAAUGCUGUUGUGAGGAAUUCACAAUACUCUUUAAAUCUGGGUAAACUGCGGGAACGCUUCCAUGUGUUGCCGGAUAAUCCAAUGGACAGGGAGAUUAAUUGGCAUGCUCGAGCACUUGUUCUAGAAAUUCUUGGCUCCAUAGUUUUUACCGAUACGUCUGGAGAUGGAGUGCCAGCUAUGUAUCUCCAAUUUAUGCAGGAUUUAGGACAACCAAUAGAGUAUAAUUGGGGAGUUGCUGCUCUUGCUCUAUUGUAUAGACAAUUGAGCAUAGGUGCUGAGAAGGAGAGACUAGAAAUUUCAGGUCCUUUAUUGCUGCUACAGUUAUGGUCUUGGUCCCGUUUGCCACUUGGUCGCCCUGAAGUUAUUUUUGAGAAGCCCAAAGAAGGAGAGGAACUUGAUGAAGAGGAAGAAGAACAAGAAGUACACUUGGAUUAUAACCCUAUUUUUGGAGCAAAGUGGUGUGUUGCACAUGCGUUUGAUGUCCCUCAUAGUGCUGGUACUGAAUAUUAUCGAAAUCAGAUUGACUUGAUUCGACAAGGUGCAGUUGAUUGA